rnacentral:lncRNA from 1 species
AAAAGGCGGGAGAAGCCCUGGCAGAGUUGAAGCUGCUCCUUUAAAUUUGCAAUUCAAUAUGAUUAUUUACCUCAGGGCUUGGUAAGAAGAGGACUCAACCUCUGUCUUAGAUUUACAGUCUAAUGCUUACUCAGCCAUUUUACCACCUACCUAUGUUCAUCAACCAUUGAUUCUUCUAAACUAAUCAUAAAGAUAUUGGAAUAUUUUACCUUCUAUUUGGCGCUUGAGCUGGAAUAGUAGGAACAGAGCUUAGCCUACUAAUCCGGGCUGAAUUAGGUCAACCCAGAGCUCUAUUAGGUGAUGAUCAAAUCUACAAUGUCAUUGUUACCUCACAUGCAUUUGUUAUAAUUUUCUUUAUACUUAUGCCAAUCAUAAUUGGUGGGUUUGGAAACUGACUAGUACCCCUUAUAAUUGGAGCCCCUGAUAUAGCAUUUCCACGUAUAAAUAAUAUAAGCUUCUGAAUCCUCCCCACUUCCUUCCUUCUCCUGCUCACUUCUUCUAUAGUUGAAGCAGGUGCAGGAACAGGUUGAACCGUAUAUCCUCCACUGGUGGAAAUCUUGCUCAUGCAGGAGCCUCAGUAGACCUUACCAUCUUCUCCCUUCACUUAGCAGGGGUAUCAUCAAUUCUAGGGGCAAUUAAUUUUAUUACAACAAUUAUUAAUAUAAAACCACCUGCCAUAUCUCAAUAUCGGACCCCUCCGUUCGUGUGAUCUGUGCUAAUUACAGCAGUGUUACUUCUCCUGUCUCUUCCAGUUCUUGCAGCAGGAAUUACAAUACUUCCUACAGAUCGUUACCUAAAUAUUAAAUUUUUCGACCUCGCUGGAGGUGGGGAUCCUAUCCUUUAUCAAAAUUUAUUCUGAGUCUUCAGACACCCUGACGUUUACAUUCUCAUCCUUCCAGGAUUUGGUAUUAUCUCCCAUAUUGUAACAUAUUACUCAGGUAAAAAGGAACCGUUCGGUUAUAUAGGAAUAGUAUGAGCUAUAAUAUCCAUUGGUUUCCUUGGAUUUAUUGUAUGAGCACAUUAUAUAUUCACCGUUGGAAUAGAUGUUGAUACCCGAGCUUACUUUACAUCCGCAACUAUAAUCAUUGCUAUCCCUACAGGAGUAAAAGUUUUUAGCUGACUAGCAACCCGGCAUGGCGGUAAUAUCAAACGGUCACCGGCAAUACUAUGAGUACUUGGCUUUAUUUUUCUAUUCACUGUAGGAGGCCUAACAGGAAUUGUCUUAGCUAAUUCUUCAUUAGAUAUUGUUUUACAUGACACAUAUUAUGUUGUAGCCCACUUCCACUAUGUUCUAUCUAUGGAAGCUGUAUUUGCCAUCAUAGGAGGAUUCGUUCACUGAUUCCCCCUUUUUUUCUGGCUAUACACUAAAUGACAUAUGAGCUAAAAUUCAUUUUACUGUAAUGUUUGUUGGAGUAAAUUUAACCUUCUUCCCUCAACAUUUCUUAGGGUCAUCAGGUAUACCUCAUGGAUACUCCGACUACCUAGAUGCAUACACAGCAUGAAAUACUGUGUCUUCAAUAGGCUCAUUUAUUUCCCUUACAGCUGUUAUAAUUAUAAUCUUUAUAAUUUGAGAAGCAUUUGCAUCAAAACGAGAAGUUCUCACUGUGGAGUUAACACCAACUAACUUAGAAUGACUACAUGGGUGCCCUCCACCCUACCUGAAGAGCCCACUUUUAUUAAGACCUAAGUCAAGAAAGGGAAGAAUCGAACUUCCUAAAACUAGUUUCAAGCCAGCCUCAUAACCAUUAUGACUUUCUUCAUGAGGUA